rnacentral:rRNA from 1 species
UACGGAGGGGGCUAGCGUUGUUCGGAAUUACUGGGCGUAAAGCGCACGUAGGCGGCUUUGUAAGUCAGAGGUGAAAGCCCGGGGCUCAACUCCGGAAUUGCCUUUAAGACUGCAUCGCUUGAACACGGGAGAGGUGAGUGGAAUUCCGAGUGUAGAGGUGAAAUUCGUAGAUAUUCGGAAGAACACCAGUGGCGAAGGCGGCUCACUGGACCGUUGUUGACGCUGAGGUGCGAAAGCGUGGGGAGCAAACAGG